rnacentral:lncRNA from 1 species
GGUUCAGCAGCACAGUGCGUGGACUGAUCACCGAGGGCCAGGGAUCGGUGUUCUGGAAGUCCUAGAAGUUGCCAGCAUGAACCGAGAAUAACAAGGACCUAUUUUCCACUGCCAAUGAUACCACAGCUCCAAAAAUCCCCUUGAACUUAGGUGCACUCGUGGAAAGAAGGCAAUCCCUGAAAUGACUGAGACUACAUUUCCUCCAACCCAGCAGAGCACGGUGACAUUAUACAGCUCUCUGCAUAUGGAACAUUGAACACCCUUGGGACACAUGGAUUAUUUGAGGGAGAGGAGCUGUUUUAUUUUGGUAAGGCAGGUGGAAAAAUGAUGACUUAAAAAUUUUAGCCAUGUUGGAUUGGGGUGAUAAUGACACAUCUAAAAGUCCUUUCCACAGGUAACACUGAAGAUGGAUGUGUCUACACACACAGAAUAAAGAGACAGUGCACCG